GGCUUUUCCAUGGUUUAAAAAGCCUAGGGAAAAGAGGGGGGCAAGACUGGUGUCAGCCGCCGCGGUAACACCAGCCCCUCGAGUGGUGGGGAUGAUUAUUUGGCCUAAAGCGUCCGUAGCUUGCCGGAAAAGUUUCCCGUUAAAUCCGACGUCUCAAGCGUCGGACCGCGGGAAAUACUAUCUGGCUAGAGAGUGGGAGAGGUUAGCGGUAUUCUGGGGGUAGGGGCGAAAUCCUUUGAUCCCCGGAGGACCACCAGUGGCGAAGGCUGCUGACCAGAACACGUCUGACGGUCAGGGACGAAAGCUGGGGUAGCGAACCGGAUUAGAUACCCGGGUAGUCCCAGCCGUAAACGAUGCAUGCUAGGUGUUUGGGUUGGCCACGAGCCACCCCCAAGUGCCGCAGGGAAGCCGUUAAGCAUGCCGCCUGGGAAAGUACGAUCGCAAGGUUGAAACUUAAAGGAAUUGGCGGGGGAGCACCACCAGGCGUGAAGCCUGCGGUUUAAUUGGAGUCAACGCCCGGAACCUUACCGGAAGCGACAGCAGAGUGAAAGCCAGAUUGAAGAUCUUACCAGACGAGCUGAGAAGAGUGCAUGGCCAAGGCGAAUUCAGC
rnacentral:rRNA from 1 species